rnacentral:rRNA from 1 species
UACGAGAGGCCCAAACGUUAUUCGGAAUUACUGGGCUUAAAGAGUUCGUAGGCGGCAUGAAAAGUAGGGUGUGAAAGCCCUCGGCUCAACCGAGGAAUUGCGCUCUAAACUGUCGUGCUCGAGGAACCUAGAGGUGAGCAGAACAGAUGGUGGAGCGGUGAAAUGCGUUGAUAUCAUCUGGAAUACCGGAGGCGAAGGCGGCUCACUGGGGGUUUUCUGACGCUGAGGAACGAAAGCCAGGGUAGCAAACGGG